AAAGUCCCAAGGAUAUUUUAGAAAGUUCUGACUUUGAUGUUAACGAAAAGGUGUACAAAUCCCAACGGUACAACAUUACUCAACCCAAGUCCGAAGAAAUCCGCAAAGUUCUCCGUGAUCCCAGCAAGAAGAUAUUCCGUCGAAUACGUCUUCAAAAUCCUUAGUCCAACCUACGUCAGCCAACCAACCAACAAGAUUAACCCAUACGCCUCCUCUCGCCGCUUGGAAGAAGGCUGUGGCUGACCCAAAUUAGAACAUAAUUUAUUAACGAUUUUUUUGUUUUAAAUUGAGAGUUGUCUUGUUGAAAUGUUUGCAUUGCUUUUUGUUUUACAAAAUCUUUAGUAUUAUUUGUCACGCGACAUAUUUUUCCGUCAUAUUUGUAAUACCGAAUAGUCCAAUAAAUUCAAAUUAAAAUUUCAUAAACUAUAAAGAA